GCUUCGGUGGUGUAGUGGUAGAGCACGUUUUCCCCUUAUAGGAUGAAACGCGGGUUUGAUUCCCUCCUGAGGCC